rnacentral:tRNA from 1 species
GGGGUUGUGGCUCAGUGGUAGAGUGCUUCACCUAGCACGUGCAAGAGGCUGGGUUCAAUCCUCAGCACCGCA